rnacentral:pre_miRNA from 1 species
AUGCGCUUACUGCCGGGAUACACCCUGUGCUCGCUUUGAAAUUUUCUAUUAAUAAGAUUUUAUAUGAUAUCAGUGAACACAGCUUGGUGGUAUCUCAGUAGUAGAAGGCAA